rnacentral:rRNA from 1 species
GACGAACGCUGGCGGCGUGCUUAACACAUGCAAGUCGAACGGAAAGGCCCUGCUUUUGUGGGGUGCUCGAGUGGCGAACGGGUGAGUAACACGUGAGUAACCUGCCCUUGACUUUGGGAUAACUUCAGGAAACUGGGGCUAAUACCGGAUAGGAGCUCCUGCUGCAUGGUGGGGGUUGGAAAGUUUCGGCGGUUGGGGAUGGACUCGCGGCUUAUCAGCUUGUUGGUGGGGAAGUGGCUUACCAAGGCUUUGACGGGUAGCCGGCCUGAGAGGGUGACCGGGCACAUUGGGACUGAGAUACGGCCCAGACUCCUACGGGAGGCAGCAGUGGGGAAUAUUGCACAAUGGGCGGAAGCCUGAUGCAGCAACGCCGCGUGCGGGAUGACGGCCUUCGGGUUGUAAACCGCUUUCGCCUGUGACGAAGCGUGAGUGACGGUAAUGGGUAAAGAAGCACCGGCUAACUACGUG